rnacentral:rRNA from 1 species
CCUACGGGAGGCAGCAGUGGGGAAUAUUGGGCAAUGGGCGCAAGCCUGACCCAGCAACGCCGCGUGAAGGAAGAAGGCUUUCGGGUUGUAAACUUCUUUUAAGAGGGAAGAGCAGAAGACGGUACCUCUUGAAUAAGCCACGGCUAACUACGUGCCAGCAGCCGCGGUAAUACGUAGGUGGCAAGCGUUGUCCGGAUUUACUGGGGGUAAAGGGCGUGAAGCCGGGAAGACAAGUCAGAUGUGAAAUCCCGCGGCUCAACCGCGGAACUGCAUUUUAAACUGUUUUUCUUGAGUACCGGAGAGGUCAUCGGAAUUCCUUGUGUAGCGGUGAAAUGCGUAGAUAUAAGGAAGAACACCAGUGGCGAAGGCGGAUGACUGGACGGCAACUGACGGUGAGGCGCGAAAGCGUGGGGAGCAAACAGGAUUAGAUACCCUAGUAGUC